AUUGAACGCUGGCGGCAGGCCUAACACAUGCAAGUCGAACGGUAGCACAGAGAGCUUGCUCUCGGGUGACGAGUGGCGGACGGGUGAGUAACGUCUGGGAAACUGCCCGAUGGAGGGGGAUAACUACUGGAAACGGUAGCUAAUACCGCAUAACGUCGCAAGACCAAAGUGGGGGACCUUCGGGCCUCACACCAUCGGAUGUGCCCAGAUGGGAUUAGCUAGUAGGUGGGGUAAUGGCUCACCUAGGCGACGAUCCCUAGCUGGUCUGAGAGGAUGACCAGCCACACUGGAACUGAGACACGGUCCAGACUCCUACGGGAGGCAGCAGUGAGGAAUAUUGCACAAUGGGCGCAAGCCUGAUGCAGCCAUGCCGCGUGUAUGAAGAAGGCCUUCGGGUUAUAAGGUACUUUCAGCGGGGAGGAAGGCGGUGGAGUUAAUAACUUCACCGAUUGACGUUACCCGCAGAAGAAGCACCGGCUAACUCCGUGCCAGCCGCCGCCGUAA
rnacentral:rRNA from 1 species